AGACCUGCCGGUCGUGUUGGCUUAUUCAUUCUUUUUAACGUAGCAUUCAGAGCUGGUUGUCGCGGUUGACUAUAGCAUUCAGAGUCAGUUCUUCCUUAUGGGUCUUCAAGGGUAUUAUAAUUUUCCACAUACGAUAUACAUAUUGAUAAGAUAAACGCUCUGCUCUACUACUUAAUUUGCGCUGUCCAUGAAUCUUGCCGAUCAUCAUGCGCACAAAUGAAUGGGACAUUGUUGUCAGUAACCUAACUAAACAACCAGCCACAGUAAUCUAACUAAACAGCCAGCCACUUGGUACUUACGCCCAGCGGCCAGCGCAUUCUGGACAACCUGAAAAAUACAAACACACUAUCCUUUAUUAUAUACAUCAAUAACUUUUUAACUUCCAAACCAAUUUCAUGAUGUACAAAAUUCUUUGCGACUACAGAAUGUAAGAAUUCCGAUGGAUAGAGCGGAUCAGCAUCACCAAGAUAAUCAGUUGAUAUAAUGUCACAGCUAACGAUUAUCUUGGAACAGCCAGACAUGUACGGUUAUAAAGAGAUCCACUAAUAUCAUCAAGCAUUUUAUUAGUUCUGACGGUUAGCAUAAAUGAAGAAAAACGGAUCACAUGCUAUUAAUAGUAGCAGAUAUGUUAUAUCUUUAGUGGGCAAAAUCACUAAAUUUUUAGAAUGCGCAGCCAUGAAGUAGAAGCUUUGAUCGGAGCUGAAAUUCGGUUUUGCCAACUGUAGAGUGAGUGCAGAUAUUGCUGUUGCCGAUGUCCUGUACCCACUGAGCAAAUUCAGAUAGUUUCGUAUAGUGCAUCGCAUCCAUUGCAUUUAGAUCAAUUAAAGGGAAAAAAAGUCGUGGCAUAAAACCGUAAACUAAUGCACACAAGCAUCUCAUUAUACUAUCAUAAUAUGUAAUUCUCAGCUAGAAUUGACAUACAUGGCCAAACUUUUUCAGAUUGUGACAUCAUUUUUUCAUGUACCCAAGACUGGAAAGAACAGAAAAGGAACUUUCGAAAAGCUACUUACAGCAAUAACUUUGUUCUCUGAAAUGUUGGUUAGUACUAAAAACAAGAAGGCACCGUUGUCAUUGUUUGUCUAGAACAGCUGUACAUAGGAACUUAUCAAUCUGAAGCUUGUAUGCUGAACUCACCGAUUGCAAGGAAGAGGGAGAAGCUGAUGGAGGCAGGGCUACAGGAAACUGCUAUUGCGCGGCACAGACAGGGAGAAUAAUGAUAC
rnacentral:lncRNA from 1 species